rnacentral:lncRNA from 1 species
CUAGAUACUAGACCGAACCAUCAGACGCAUGCGCACAAGAGUACCACACUGACUUUAUUUUGUCGGCGACCAUGAUAUAUAGGAUUGCUAUCAAACAACAUUUAGCAAUCAGUCCAACGCAAGGAUCGAACCCUAAAUCUCGCUUUCAAAUGGAGUAUAAUGCCAAUAUGCUAAGCUAAGACAGUCCAUUCGAAAAAGAAAAAAAAAGCUAAGCUAGAACAGGUGGGUCCUUUACAUAGAAACGAAGUAUCUUAACAAUCACAUCCAUGCAGUGAUUUAUGUUGAAUGUUGUUCUCUAAUACGGGCUGCAUUAA